rnacentral:lncRNA from 10 species
AGGGCGCGCAGGCGGCGCGGGUGCGCGGUGCGGCGCUGGUAUCCAGAGGACGCGGUCACCGCCUCUGGCAUUUGUCGUUCUGCGCUUCUCCGCAAGGACCCUCUGUUAGGCAGGCGCCCACCGUAAGCCUCCCGGGCCUUGUGAACCUGCAAACCCAAGUCUGAGAGACGAUCCGCCUUCAGCGCUUUCCAGCUUGGCAGAGAGGCUUUCCCGGCGGGGAUCUUUGGUUGGCGCUGGCGAUGCGCGGGGAAGAAAGGCGAGGAGCGGCGUCCAGGCUGGGUGAUGUCCCAGCACGAGUAGGCGGGAUGCGCUCGCUUGGUCCUCCGGGCGCCCGGUCCCUGCCCGCGUCGCGCGCCCACCCCUGGGGACGAGAAGGCGGCCGCCUGAGGACCCCCGCCCGCGACCUCCGCGAGUCUGGAGCGCAGAGGACAGGGUCUGGCUGCUCUUUGGCCUUGGAUGGAAAGUGGGGAAUUGGGUGGGGGGCUGCGGACCCCUUAACGUGGAUUACUUGGUGUGUAUCAGCUGGGCUCAGAAGACCCACGACCUCUUCUCCAUCCGUGGAUUGAUUUGUUCUGCUUAACAGCUGGGUCGCCAAGCUGGAGGUGGAAUCAGAGGUUUCUGGCUGACUCGGUGGGUGCUUUGAACCAGGAAAGGACAAGAAAGAGGAACUCUGAAAGCCACAUGUUGAGAUGGCCCCAUUACAGGAUGGAGAGCACCUGAACCCCCAAGUUAUGGACUAGAAGAAGACAGUUGCCCUGGAAAAUCAUCUGACCCACAUUGGACUUUAUGUGAGGGGGAAAUAAACCUUUAUUAUGUUAAGCUACACAA